UACGGAGGGUGCAACCGUUGCUCGGAAUCAUUGGGCGUAAAGCGCGCGUAGGCGGCGAAGCAAGUUGGAUGUGAAAGCCCUGGGCUCAACCUAGGAUGUGCAUACAAAACUGCUUCGCUUGAAUCUCGGAGGGGGUCAGGGAAUUCCCGGUGUAGAGGUGAAAUUCGUAGAUAUCGGGAGGAACACCAGUGGCGAAGGCGAUGACCUGGACGAUGAUUGACGCUGAGGCGCGAAAGCGUGGGGAGCAAACAGG
rnacentral:rRNA from 1 species